CAAAGUAGCCACUAGAGGGCGCGGGCGUUUUUUGGGAGAUAUUGAAAUUAUAAAAUUUUAAAUUUAAUUUUAAAAAAGCAACAAGCACAAUAUUUGAAGAGCAGUUUGGUGUUUUCAGCCGAAGUGUGCGUCAUCGAGAGCACUCCACACGGAGAAUCUGUGAGGAUGAUGGUUACUCAGACUCAAGGACACGUCCGUGGGUUUGGACUAAGGCAGGAGAAGCUCACCUUCCUUUAGGUCCUGGCUGUGUUUGGGGUUGCUGAUGCUGGAAAUGACGACCCCUCCCUCCUCCAGCUGAUCCAGGGUCAGCGCCUCGGACAGGCUCCUCCCCCUCCGGUGUCUAGCCUCUCCCUGGAGGCAAAAGUGUCUUAAAGAACGACAACAGGAAGCAGCACUCCGGCAGAGAUAGUCUCGAUGCAGAUCUCUGCCAGAUAACGUAAAAACAAGAACGUCAGAAAGAAUCCAGUUCAGGAGAAGAUCUCUGAACGACUUUCUGCUCUGUAAUGAGGACGUUCCCUCAGUUAGCAGAGACUGCUAAAGUCUAAGUGUAUUUAUUGUUCUGUAUGAUCGCAUGCGGCUGAGCUGAGUGUGAAGGUGGAGACGCUCCCGUUUGUUCUGUACAGUCUGGAGGAGCGACGCCCUGGAAACCGAGCCAGCACGUCUGUCAGGUAUGCAGGCUGGACUACGACUGGAAACACCUGGAACAGGUUCAUCCAGGGUUCUGCGAAGGAGCGCUUCCUCUUUGAGUGUCAACCGAGUACAAGUGACAACAACAACCAGCUUUCUAACUCACACUGACUGAAGUCGAACACAAAGAAUCCUGUUACUAUGAGAGGAAACAUGCAAAAACAAGCCCCAGAAAUCAGUUCAAGACUCUUGAAAUUUUAAUAAAAUGUCUUAAAAUAAACAAAAUAAUCAUGGAGAAAA